UUUAGAGCCACAUUCGAUUUAUUGCUAAUUUCGGGACGUUCUAUCGAGGUUUGAUUGUGAUUGAAAGUAAUUUUCUUACUAAUAUGCGUUACUUUUGCCUCACUGAUUACUUUGAAUGCUAAAAAAUUACCUUUUGGCUAUUGACUUUCACAUCAUCUUAUUGGAAACAGAUAAGGCAACAUACAAUAUUAUUUUAGUAAAAGACUGAUAGUCCUACAUUUAUAAAUGAAAAGUAGACAACUAAAGCGUAAAGACGGAAGGAUGCUUAAUGGGAGAAGAUAACAUGGAGAGUAAUAGAGCUGGUGAGGAUGAAUGGUGUGACAUUACUGCUAGUAUUAAGAAAGAUCAUUUUCGUGUCUACCACAUUUCACCUAAUGGAUACGUGUGAUAGUCAAAUUAUCAACUUGUAAACAAGUAUUCGCUGUAUGUAAUGUACAAUAAAUAAAAACUUUUAUAAUGUGAGAAGAUAUCUUUACAGCAAGAUGAAAUGCUUCGAUAAGCUAAACUACGAGCCCAAGACUGUAUAGGCCUAUAUGUUUAUGCCAAUAACACAAAUGUAUCAUUAUACCAAUAAGAAAAUGAGAAUUAAACUUAUCCUAAAAGUAAUUAACUUUUUUGGCUCACAUAAUAGAAAAAUUAACGGAAAGAUCUGUUAUGUAUCUGACUAGAUUUUUUAAAUGAUGGUCAGAUGUCGGGCAAAUAUCUACUCUCUUUCUCUCCUCUUCUCCCGUUCUUUCUCUCUUCCUCUCUUUCUCUAACACAUUUCUAAUAAAUAUUGUUAGAAAUACAGACGACAAGCUCAGGAUAAAUAAGAUUCAUGUUUGGGUAACAUGCCAGCACUAUAAUUACUUUCUACACUCUCAUCAUCUAUCUUCUACCGUAAUAUACUGUAUGCAAACAGAAAAUUUUGUUGCAUUUUCACAAAAGAUACAAAGCACUACCAAAUACGUUUUGAAAUAAGUGACAAGAAUUAAAUGCUUUCACAGCAAUUUGGUAAUUAUAAUCGAGUUGAGCAUUUACGUAGCGAAUAAUAAUGCAAACACAGAAAAAUGGUAAACAUUUCUGCAUAAAACAAGUAUAUAUCAGACGUCAAACUAAGAUUCCCAUCUAAAUAUCCUUAAAAAUUUCGUCACCAUUUUUUAAAAUCUAUCUGUGAAAGACAAGAUUCAGAAGUGCGAAAUAAAUGCCUUUUAGACAUAAAUUAAAGCAAACAUGAAAUAUAUUGAAAAGGUCUAUCGAAGUAACACUACAGCAACAUUCUGUCAGAUUCAUUCAAAUCGAUCAUUCGUCAAGGCAAGAAGACUAACAAAAUUGAAAUUAAACGAACUUGAGUUUGUGGAAAAUCUACGUUCGUUUUGUCUUAGCUUUAAAAAUGAAACUAGAAAUCCAAUAGGAACUCGUAUAUUUCCUAAUAUUAUAGCCGGUAAUAGUGAAACAAAUCAUUUUAUUUAUCAUUGAAAAAAAUUUUGU